GAGAAUCCAUCGAGUCACAAUGAAACAAUACUCUAUCUCUGCCAAUCCGGAAAAUCUGCAAAAGAACAAAAUAAUAAUCUGAUUCCUAAAACAAAAUAAUAAUUAAAGCAAUCAAUAUUUACAAUAACCGCAACAUAGGCCCAAAAUUAUAUGCGAAAAGCGCCAAGAAGAGAGGUAAUCUAAAUUACCUCAAGGUAAGUAGCAACCACACCCGAAGGUAGGGUCGAAAUUGAACAACCACAGAGAUAACUCUGGGAAGAGAAUGAGCCGCGAGUUUUUAAUUCGGGGCUAAUAAAGGUACCAUCGAACCCAGGUUGGUGUCAAACGUUUGAAAGAGACACAACCAGUGAGGGUGGG
rnacentral:lncRNA from 1 species